UACGGAGGGGGCUAGCGUUGUUCGGAAUUACUGGGCGUAAAGCGCGCGUAGGCGGCUUUGUAAGUUAGAGGUGAAAGCCCGGAGCUCAACUCCGGAACUGCCUUUAAGACUGCAUCGCUAGAAUUGUGGAGAGGUGAGUGGAACUGCGAGUGUAGAGGUGAAAUUCGUAGAUAUUCGCAAGAACACCAGUGGCGAAGGCGGCUCACUGGCCCGAUACUGACGCUGAGGUGCGAAAGCGUGGGGAGCAAACAGG
rnacentral:rRNA from 1 species